rnacentral:rRNA from 1 species
GAGGAAGGUGGGGAUGACGUCAAAUCAUCAUGCCCCUUAUGACCUGGGCUACACACGUGCUACAAUGGGAAGUACAACGAGUCGCGAAGUCGCGAGGCUAAGCUAAUCUCUUAAAGCUUCUCUCAGUGCGGAUUGCAGGCUGCAACUCGCCUGCAUGAAGCCGGAAUCGCUAGUAAUCGCGGAUCAGCACGCCGCGGUGAAUACGUUCCCGGGCCUUGUACACACCGCCCGUCACACCACGAGAGUUU